rnacentral:rRNA from 1 species
AUUGAACGCUGGCGGCAGGCCUAACACAUGCAAGUCGAGCGGAUGAAGGGAGCUUGCUCCUGGAUUCAGCGGCGGACGGGUGAGUAAUGCCUAGGAAUCUGCCUGGUAGUGGGGGAUAACGUCCUGAAACGGGCGCUAAUACCGCAUACGUCCUGAGGGAGAAAGUGGGGGAUCUUCGGACCGCACGCGAUCAGAUGAGCCUAGGUCGGAUUAGCUAGUUGGUGGGGUAAGGGCCUACUAAGGCGACGAUCCGUAACUGGUCUGAGAGGAUGAUCAGUCACACUGGAACUGAGACACGGUCCAGACUCCUACGGGAGGCAGCAGUGGGGAAUAUUGGACAAUGGGCGAAAGCCUGAUCCAGCCAUGCCGCGUGUGUGAAGAAGGUCUUCCGAUUGUAAAGCACUUUAAGUUGGGAGGAAGGGCAGUAAGUUAAUACCUUGCUGUUUUGACGUUACCAACAGAAUAAGCACCGGCUAACUUCGUG